rnacentral:rRNA from 1 species
UACGGGGGGGGCAAGCGUUGUUCGGAAUUACUGGGCGUAAAGGGCUCGUAGGCGGCCAACUAAGUCAGACGUGAAAUCCCUCGGCUUAACCGGGGAACUGCGUCUGAUACUGGAUGGCUUGAGUUUGGGAGAGGGAUGCGGAAUUCCAGGUGUAGCGGUGAAAUGCGUAGAUAUCAGGAGGAACACCUGUGGUGUAGACGGCUUACUGGACCAUGACUGACGCUGAGGCACGAAAGCGUGGGGAGCAAACAGGA